rnacentral:lncRNA from 1 species
UUCACAUAAAUGAUUCAUUUAGAACAACAUAUUCUUCAGGCAACAUAAAGCUCUUAGGCAAAAUCAUGUCAGUACAUAAAGAGCUGCCUCAUUUGUUGUAAUGAAUGCAAAGUAUGUAUUUUAUAUACAAAGGUGUGCCUCCAGUUAUGUAUUUUAUAUAAAUAUAUGCUUCAUUUAUUUGUUUUUUAAACUGAAUAAAGUAUCCAUCUGGGUAUGGCUUUUCAUACGAACCAUGCUGUUUGGAUUUUUUUUUUUACGUUUAAGAAUCUAGUCUGUAUUUCCUUUCAUUAUUAGAUAUUUAAAAAAUGUUUACAUCCUACAUAAAAGCUUUAGACUGUUCUUAGAUCUCUUUCCACCUACCCUGUUCCCAUGAGCAAAUUAGCUAAGUGGGACAUUUUACUCAGGUGCUUCCUAAUUGUGACUUGAAGAAGGAAGCCCUGAAUGACAAGUGUAGCACUUGAUUUUUAGCAGCUUGGCCUCAUGCAAAGCUGUGAGCAUCAUGUUUCCACUGCAGUCGGCGGUGCCCUGCAGAGGAGCCCUCCAAGGCAGGCCGCCUGUCCCCUUCAUGUCAGCUGCCUUGUCAGAUGCUGGCACAGCUUUGCUUAAGACUUGACUUCCAUUCUAUCAGAUUACAACUCACCUGCCACUGUCCCUCUGCCAGCAAGAAAGACACUGGAAAUGUCCUCAGCUAUAGAUUAAGUCCCAAAACCAAGGAUGGAGAUUCAACAACUUUUACUCACUCAGGAGUCUUAAAUGUCUCAGAUUCUCCAUUUUUCAGUAAGGAAUGGUUUCUGAGAAGAUUGCCCGUGACCUGCCACCCAUCAUACUGA